rnacentral:rRNA from 1 species
GGGGAAUAUUGCACAAUGGGCGAAAGCCUGAUGCAGCAACGCCGCGUGAGUGAUGACGGUCUUCGGAUUGUAAAGCUCUGUCUUUUGGGACGAUAAUGACGGUACCAAAGGAGGAAGCCACGGCUAACUACGUGCCAGCAGCCGCGGUAAUACGUAGGUGGCAAGCGUUGUCCGGAUUUACUGGGCGUAAAGGAUGUGUAGGCGGAUACUUAAGUGAGAUGUGAAAGCCCCGGGCUCAACCUGGGGACUGCAUUUCAAACUGGGCAUCUAGAGUGCAGGAGAGGAAAGCGGAAUUCCUAGUGUAGCGGUGAAAUGCGUAGAGAUUAGGAAGAACAUCAGUGGCGAAGGCGGCUUUCUGGACUGUAACUGACGCUGAAGCUCGAAAGUGCGGGUAUCGAAC